UAGAUUUUUUUUUUUUUUUUGGGGACAGAGAGAUCCUUAACUACAUGGUCAUUAUGAAGAUAACUUGAAUUUUCAAUGCCUUAUGGAAGAAAACUUUACUUGAUGCAAUAUUUUUUCCAUUGAUAAUAAUCUUGAAACAAGUAUUGAUUGUUAUGUUUUUCAAGGAUUAAUUUACUUCAAGCAAACAUUACACAUUUCUGAGAAUU
rnacentral:misc_RNA from 1 species